rnacentral:rRNA from 1 species
GGCUCAGGAUGAACGCUGGCGGCGUGCUUAACACAUGCAAGUCGAACGAACCUUCGGGUUAGUGGCGGACGGGUGAGUAACGCGUGGGAAUCUGCCCUCAGGAGGGGGAUAACGGUUGGAAACGACCGCUAAUACCCCAUAUGCCGAGAGGUGAAACGAAUUUCGCCUGAGGAUGAGCCCGCGUCUGAUUAGCUAGUUGGUGAGGUAAUGGCUCACCAAGGCUUCGAUCAGUAGCUGGUCUGAGAGGAUGAUCAGCCACACUGGGACUGAGACACGGCCCAGACUCCUACGGGAGGCAGCAGUGGGGAAUUUUCCGCAAUGGGCGCAAGCCUGACGGAGCAACGCCGCGUGAGGGAUGAAGGCCUCUGGGCUGUAAACCUCUUUUCUCAAGGAAGAAGAUAUGACGGUACUUGAGGAAUAAGCCACGGCUAAUUCCGUGCCAGCAGCCGCGGUAAUACGGGAGUGGCAAGCGUUAUCCGGAAUUAUUGGGCGUAAAGCGUCCGCAGGCGGCCUUUCAAGUCUGCUGUUAAAACGUGGAGCUUAACUCCAUCAUGGCAGUGGAAACUGAUGGGCUUGAGUAUGGUAGGGGCAGAGGGAAUUCCCGGUGUAGCGGUGAAAUGCGUAGAUAUCGGGAAGAACACCAGUGGCGAAGGCGCUCUGCUGGGCCAUAACUGACGCUCAUGGACGAAAGCCAGGGGAGCGAAAGGGAUUAGAUACCCCUGUAGUCCUGGCCGUAAACGAUGAACACUAGGUGUCGGGGGAAUCGACCCCUUCGGUGUCGUAGCUAACGCGUUAAGUGUUCCGCCUGGGGAGUACGCACGCAAGUGUGAAACUCAAAGGAAUUGACGGGGGCCCGCACAAGCGGUGGAGUAUGUGGUUUAAUUCGAUGCAACGCGAAGAACCUUACCAGGGUUUGACAUCCUGCGAACCUUUAAGAAAUUAGAGGGUGCCUUCGGGAACGCAGUGACAGGUGGUGCAUGGCUGUCGUCAGCUCGUGUCGUGAGAUGUUGGGUUAAGUCCCGCAACGAGCGCAACCCACGUUUUUAGUUGCCAGCAUUUAGUUGGGCACUCUAGAAAGACCGCCGGUGAUAAACCGGAGGAAGGUGUGGAUGACGUCAAGUCAUCAUGCCCCUUACAUCCUGGGCUACACACGUACUACAAUGCUGCGGACAAAGGGCAGCAAGCUCGCGAGAGCAAGCAAAUCCCAUAAACCGUGGCUCAGUUCAGAUCGUAGGCUGCAACUCGCCUACGUGAAGUAGGAAUCGCUAGUAAUCGCAGGUCAGCAUACUGCGGUGAAUACGUUCCCGGGCCUUGUACACACCGCCCGUCACACCAUGGAAGUUGGCCAUGCCCGAAGUCGUUACUCCAACCCUUGUGGAGGAGGACGCCGAAGGUGGGGCUGAUGACUGGGGUGAAGUCGUAACAAGGUAGCCGUACCGGAAGGUGCGGCUGGAUCACCUCCUAA